AUAAAGCAAAGAAAGAAAAAAGAAAUUCCUACUAAAGGAGUUGUCAACAACCUGUACUGAGAUUCCACACCAAAGAAAGGAAGGGUGGUCCUGUGCUUAUGGGAAGCCAGGUAGUAGGGCAGGUAUGCAUGGAGGGCCUCACACAGCUGCCCUGAGGUAGAACUGUCUGCCAAAGGCCAGAGGCCUGAAGAGUCUCUCCCCACAAGCUACCUCUGGAUGGCUCAGUUCUCCUUUUUUUGUUUAAUUCAAAUGAUGAGUUCUUCCUCUCAGGUAAUUUUAUUUCAUUCAAUGUUAAAUGUCAUAGUUUAAUUCUUCUA